rnacentral:misc_RNA from 1 species
UUUCCGUAGGUGAACCUGCGGAAGGAUCAUUACUGAGUGAGGGCCCCUCGGGGUCCAACCUCCCACCCGUGUUUAACGAACCUUGUUGCUCCGGCGGGCCCGCCUCACGGCCGCCGGGGGGCAUUUGCCCCCGGGCCCGCGCCCGCCGAAGCCACCUGUGAACGCUGUCUGAAGUAUGCAGUCUGAGACAAUUAUUAAAUUAAUUAAAACUUUCAACAACGGAUCUCUUGGUUCCG